rnacentral:lncRNA from 1 species
UAUAUAUAUAUAUAUAUAUAUAUAUAUAUAUAGACACACAAAGUUAUGUUAUUUUUGAAAUUCCCAAAUUAUUUUGAUAAAUACUAGAGACAAUUAUGAAAGCACUCGAAGUGGUUUUGCAGUAAAAAGUUAAACGAUUAAUUUUUGAAAAAUAAUUAAGUAAACAGAUAUGAAUAGUGAUGUGGGUAAAAUGAUAUAUAUUGGAUUUAUAAUGGCUUAAAUGAAUCUCCAAUGAGAUUGGUGGGUUAAGUCAGAUAUUUUGACGUAAUGGGUGGCCAAUUUGAUAUAAAACCCAAAUCUAGCCUAUCUAGAUACUCCUUCCGUCCCAUUUUAGUUGUCACAUUUCUAUUUUUGUUUGUCAAAUUGACUAAUUUUUGACCAAAUAUUAUAAGUCACUCUUUCAUCAUUUUAAAAAACUGAAAAUUACAUCUUAAAGUAGAAUAAAAAAAAUUCCUAUGAUAUAUUUUUUUUAAUUUUUUCAAUUGAUAAAAUAUUAAUAAAUUUCAGUUAAACUUUGGUCAAUUUGACCGGCACAAAACCAAAUAUGACAUCUAAAAUGGGACGGAGGGAGUAUUUGUUUCAAAUGAAUUAUGUGAUAACUUGAACCCGUACGUAGCUAGCUUUCUUGAACAACUUUUAUGGUUUCUUGUCUAGUAGCUAGAGAUCAAUCUCGUACUUUCUCAAGGAUCAAUACAAGAUCGACUAACCUUUACAUCCCUUUCUCUUCUUCAUGAUAUUCUUCUUACAUUCAAGUAAGUUCCCAAAUUUGUUGUUAAUCCCUUUCUCCCGUUAACCUAAGAGAUUGAGAAAAAUGUGCGAAAACAAGAAAAGAUGCUCGAAAAUAAAAAUGCGGUGUUUGGAUAAACUUAUGAAUCAAGUAUAUAAUUAUAUAUACAUACUUUUAAUGAUUUUAUUCCUAUAAUUUAGUAUUUUUUUAAUAAAGAGGUAA